GACGAACGCUGGCGGCGUGCUUAACACAUGCAAGUCGAACGGAAAGGCCCUGCUUUUGUGGGGUGCUCGAGUGGCGAACGGGUGAGUAACACGUGAGUAACCUGCCCUUGACUUUGGGAUAACUUCAGGAAACUGGGGCUAAUACCGGAUAGGAGCUCCUGCUGCAUGGUGGGGGUUGGAAAGUUUCGGCGGUUGGGGAUGGACUCGCGGCUUAUCAGCUUGUUGGUGGGGUAGUGGCUUACCAAGGCUUUGACGGGUAGCCGGCCUGAGAGGGUGACCGGCCACAUUGGGACUGAGAUACGGCCCAGACUCCUACGGGAGGCAGCAGUGGGGAAUAUUGCACAAUGGGCGAAAGCUUGAUGCAGCAACGCCGCGUGCGGGAUGACGGCCUUCGGGUUGUAAACCGCUUUCGCCUGUGACGAAGCGUGAGUGACGGUAAUGGGUAAAGAAGCACCGGCUAACUACGUG
rnacentral:rRNA from 1 species